rnacentral:rRNA from 1 species
AACGAACGCUGGCGGCGUGUUUAAGACAUGCAAGUCGCACGGGACUAUUUGAGUAGCAAUACAAGAAUAGUUUAGUGGCGCACGGGUGAGUAACACGUGAAUUACAUGCCCUGCAGAGGGGGAUAGCCCAGGGAAACUUGGAUUAAUACCUCAUAGUAUGUGAGAAUCGCAUGGUUUUCAUAUUAAAGUUCCAACGGUAAAGAUGAGCAUGCGUCCCAUUAGCUAGAUGGUAAGGUAACGGCUUACCAUGGCGACGAUGGGUAGGGGUCCUGAGAGGGAGAUCCCCCACACUGGUACUGAGACACGGACCAGACUCCUACGGGAGGCAGCAGUGAGGAAUAUUGGACAAUGGACGCAAGUCUGAUCCAGCCAUGCCGCGUGAAGGAUUAAGGUCCUCUGGAUUGUAAACUUCUUUAUAAGGGACGAAAAAAGGUCUUCUAGAUCGUCUGACGGUACCUUAUGAAUAAGCACCGGCUAACUCCGUGCCAGCAGCCGACGG